rnacentral:rRNA from 1 species
AUUGAACGCUGGCGGCAUGCCUUACACAUGCAAGUCGAACGGCAGCACGGGGGCAACCCUGGUGGCGAGUGGCGAACGGGUGAGUAACAUAUCGGAACGUGCCCUGGAGUGGGGGAUAACUAGUCGAAAGACUAGCUAAUACCGCAUACGAUCUACGGAUGAAAGUGGGGGAUCGCAAGACCUCAUGCUCGUGGAGCGGCCGAUAUCUGAUUAGCAGUUGGUGGGGUAAAGGCCUACCAAGGCAUCGAUCAGUAGCUGGUCUGAGAGGACGACCAGCCACACUGGGACUGAGACACGGCCCAGACUCCUACGGGAGGCAGCAGUGGGGAAUUUUGGACAAUGGGCGCAAGCCUGAUCCAGCAAUGCCGCGUGAGUGAAGAAGGCCUU